UUUUGUACAACUCUACAAAAACCUAACAACUAUGUGAGAGUUGGACUCAGCUGAACGUGUCUAAUGAUUUGAGCCGAUGUAUACCAACACUGCCCUUCCUGGUUCGGUUAGUUUGAGUAUUCUGGUUAAGUUAGAUUGUAACGGGUUUGGUCGGUACACCCGGAUAGGAAAUUGUGUUUCCGUCAUGGCGUUAAAGCUUGUGUUUUUAUGGAUGAUUAUGGUGAUACUGAAGAGGAGGAAGAAGAAGAAGAAUCAAGUUUGCUUGUGAGGCAGAGUAACAAGGUUAAGGAUGGUGAGUGAGUCUGCUACUCUAUCAAGUUACAUCACCUUUUCAUAAUACUACAAGGCUAGUGUCCAAGCAAGGCAUGUUGGCAUAACACGCGAAAAUCAGCCCUCACAACAAAUACAGGGAAAAAUUCUGCAUGAAGCUCAGAAAAGGAAAUAGAGCUAAGUUGUUGAAAAUACAAGAAGCUGCAGCCAAGCGUGUGAGAGCAAUUGCACAGGCCCUAUCUCUUCAGGUAAUUUAUGAUGUAUAAAAACAUAUGUCAUCGUCAUAUAUGAAGUUGUUUCUUAUAUAAAUUCUCUUGGCCUUAAACCAGCGCAUGACAGUGGGGAGUCGUGUUUUUUUCUUUUUUGUCGUACCAGGAAGUAAUGUUAAAUUAGUUAGGAACAAUUGAUCGGCAUACAAACAUGCAUGAUGGAUACAACUGAAGUAACCAAACUAUCAAAGUCUUCGAUUUAGAUUUAAAUUCCGCUAGUUCAGCUAAAUUUCCUUAGUCAUGCAAGAUUUGAUCAAUUUUUAAAGCAAAAUGUUGGCUGUCUUCUGUUGGUCUUAAAGGAAGUUGAGCUAUUAAUGCUUUCGAUCUUAGCACCCUUUGUUAUAUGCAUUAACUGCACAAAAACAGUAGCAUCAUGUUGUUAGGUACCUGUACCUAAUAACAUAUGGAUUUUCAAUAUGUUAAUGUGCUUUGUAACCAUGCAUUGGAAGGCUCCUGGUCUUGAAUAAAAAGGCGCAUGUGUGAAAUUGUAAUAGCUAUUUUUUCUUCAGUGGCCUGUAAGUAUUUUGUUCUUAUUACUUAACCGCUGUACAUCUUAUCUCCCGCUUUUCCAACCAUCCUUGGUUUUUUUUUGCUUCUCUGUUACAGCGGGCCGAAUCAAAUGGGCUGGAACCAUCAAUUGUAACUUGUACAGAAGUUAUACAAGCUUUCUUAGGUUUUUUGCUUAUCACCCACUGCCUUUAUCAGAUAUCGAUUGUACUUGUUCUGUCAUCAGAACCUCAUAACCAAUUAUUUAAUGUCCCCGUGUUACUGUUGUACCCAAUUUAUUAUAUACGACAUUCUGUGUUUCU